AACGAACGCUGGCGGCAUGCCUAACACAUGCAAGUCGAACGAGACCUUCGGGUCUAGUGGCGCACGGGUGCGUAACGCGUGGGAACCUGCCCUUAGGUUCGGAAUAACUCCCCGAAAGGGGUGCUAAUACCGGAUCAUGUCUUCCGACCAAAGAUUUAUCGCCUUUGGAUGGGCCCGCGUGGGAUUAGCUAGUUGGUAGGGUAAAAGCCUACCAAGGCGACGAUACAUAGCUGGUCUGAGAGGCAGAUCAGCCACACUGGGCCUGAGACACGGCCCAGACUCCUACGGGAGGCAGCAGUGGGGAAUAUUGGACAAUGGGCGAAAGCCUGAUGCAGCAAUGCCGCGUGAGUGAUGAAGGCCGUAGGGUUGGAAAGCUCUUUUACCCGGGAUGAUAAUGACAGUACCGGGAGAAUAAGCUCCGGCUAACUCCGUG
rnacentral:rRNA from 1 species